CUGCAAACUUGAUCACUGCAUGAUGUUGCAGAAGUAAGGAGAACAGGUUUGGUCAUAGAACUGUUUUAGCCUUAGAAAUAAAAUUAUUUUGGCUGUUAAUUCUAUACCACGAUGAGG